ACCUGGCUGGCUCAGUUGGGUAGAGCAUGUGACUCCUGAUCUCAGGGUUGUGAGUUCAAGCCCCAAGUCGGGCA
rfam:Felis catus isolate Cinnamon breed Abyssinian chromosome B1, whole genome shotgun sequence.